GCUUUUCAAUCACUAGUUCAGGUAAGAGACGGUGAUGGUCUAAUGUGGGAUGGAGAGGAAGGAGCAGAUUCCAAGGAUUUUACUGGGAAGAAAAAAAAAAAAAAAAGCAGGCUUCAGAACUGUGUCCAGAAAAGCAAAAACUUUGGGUGUAGUUACCAGCACAUGAAACUGAUUAGAAAUAAAUAGACCAGAAACUACUAAGUUUUUAAAGAAGUUAUACUUGCAAAUAAACUAUAAGCCUGGUGUAUCACCUAUAUCAAGAGUCCAACCACAGAAGCAGAGCUGGUAGGAGAUAGAGAUUUGUUUGUAUAAUUGUAGUAAAGCUAAUCUGAAACCUUUAGAAAAGGUGGCAAGGACCGAACUCUUGCACAGUCGUGUUGUCUGUAGAUGGAAUUUCUUCUUUCCUUCUCUCGUAGGGAAGCCUCAGCCUUGAGUUUUAGGCCUUGCAACCAGUUGAAUCUGGCUUAUCCACAUUAUCCUAGAUAAUGUCCCUUAUGUUCAGUCCCCUGAUUAUGAGCUUUUGUUACCACUAUAAAAAUAACUUACCAGCAACACUUAUGUAAGUGUUUGGAUGAAUAAAUAACAACUAAUGGUUGUUAACCUAGCCAAGUUGACACAUGAAAUAAAAACCAUAAACUGAGUAUGGCGGACUUAAACCUGUAAACCUAGUAUUUAAGACGCUGAGGCAAGAAUGGCUCUUGUAUAAGGCUAGUCUGGGCCACAUAGUGAGUUUAGGGGCAGCUUGGGCUUUCAGAGUAAGACUCUUGUCUUUUUUUUUUUUUUUAAGCACAUAUCAACAGUUGGCUUAAAUUUUUCUAUGAUUAUUUAAUCAUUGAAACAAUUUUAGUUACAGUGACUAGUAUGCUCUAAAGUAGCUUUCUAUUUGUUUUUUGUUUUUGUUUUGUUUUUUUUUUUUGGUCAGGGUUGUUGUUGUUGUUUUCUGUCAUUGCUGUUGUUCUAAAAUUCUGUAGUGUUUUUUUUUGGUCUAAAAAUGUGGGAGGGAGGGUUGUUUUUGUUUUUUUGUUUUAAGCUAAAUCAAGCAUACUUACUGACCCUUACCUAUAUCCAGUAUUCAGGAGUGAACAGGAUCUGGGGUUUAAGGUCACCUCAAGCUACACCGAGUCUUUGAGGUCAACCUAAGCCAAAUAAUGAGACCUUGUCUUUUAAAACAAACAAAUACUAGUGUGGUGGUGCUUGCCUAUAAUCCUAGCACUUGGGAGACCCAGGCAGGAAAGGAGAACUCAAGGCCAAGUGGACUACAUAAUGAAUUCCAGGCCAGCCUGAGAUUUAAGUCUUUAGGAGUAAUAGUGUACAUAUAAAUAGAAAGGUAAGGAUUAAUAUCAGGAGGAAUUAUAAUAUUUAAGGAAGUAUGAAAACAAAUGAGCCAAGACUGUUAAAAGCAGUAUGGAA
rnacentral:lncRNA from 1 species